CGGUUAGCUCAGCUGGGAGAGCAUCGCCCUUACAAGGCGAGGGUCACUGGUUCGAUCCCAGUACC
rnacentral:tRNA from 2 species